rnacentral:tRNA from 5 species
GGGGCUAUAGCUCAGUUGGGAGAGCGCUUGCAUGGCAUGCAAGAGGUCGUCGGUUCGAGCCCGAUUAGCUCCA